rnacentral:rRNA from 1 species
UGCAACGCGAAGAACCUUACCUGGUCUUGACAUCCCGGAGACCCUUAGGAAACUAGGGGGUGGCUUCCAUCUGGAAGAAUCUGGAGACAGGUGCUGCAUGGCUGUCGUCAGCUCGUGUCGUGAGAUGUUGGGUUAAGUCCCGCAACGAGCGCAACCCUUGCCUUUAGUUGCCAGCAGUUCGGCUGGGCACUCUAAAGGGACUGCCGGUGUUAAACCGGAGGAAGGUGGGGAUGACGUCAAGUCCUCAUGGCCUUUAUGACCAGGGCUACACACGUACUACAAUGGUCGAUACAAAGGGCAGCGACACUGCGAGGUGAAGCCAAUCCCGUAAAAUCGGUUUCAGUCCGGAUUGGAGUCUGCAACUCGACUCCAUGAAGUUGGAAUCGCUAGUAAUCGUGGAUCAGCAUGCCACGGUGAAUACGUUCCCGGGCCUU